GUUCCCUAAUAAAGGCCAUAUACAAGUUUACCAUGGUGCGCCAGAACUAUGGUAAGUGAGAAACUGUAGUUGGAGUUCAUCAUCUUGAAUAAGUGGUGCCAUUGAAUACUGCAGGGAUUCUCAAGUUUGUCCACAUUGUAUCAACUUUUGUCUUGUACAUGUUGUGGCUAUUUUGGACACAAGAUAUUUAUAUGCCCAUAAGUGGAUAUUAACAUACCUUCAUGCUGCUGAGAAAAAAUAAUAGCUCUACAGCUGAAUUCCUCCUACACCCCUGCUCAUGACUGCAUCAUGAAUAAUGAGUCAUCAUCUUGUAUUAUUUAUACUACUUCUGUACACUUCGUUUCUAAUUCCCUAUUUUUCUCUGAGGAUUUUUACUAUUUGUGAAUAAUAAAGU